rnacentral:sRNA from 7 species
UUGACAGCCCUGGGAGACUGAAAGCCCUGUGUUUAUACCCAGCAUGGAUACAACACAACUAGCAAAAGAAGCAACUCUCCAUGAGCUACUCUGCCAGUGUAUUUCAGCCCUGAUCUACGGAGCCAGAAAAGCAUUCAGGACACUAGGAGUUAUUGUAGUCAUCCAAGCUAUGCAGUCCUUUGUCUUU